UAACAGUAUAAAAUCUGUGGUUAGCAUCUCUCCAAACACAGUCAAAGCAAUGGCGUCGCAAUCCAACGAUCCCCGGCUACCGUCGGCCGCGCGGCCGUACAAGGCACCUGUCAUCGCUGCGCAGGAUCUUCCCAUCGACUACUCCGGCUUCAUCGCCGUUAUAUUCGGCGUCUUUGGCGCUAUGUUCCGGUACAAGCUUUGUUCGUGGCUCGCGAUCAUAUUCUGCGCUCAGUCGCUUGCUAAUAUGAGGAAUAUCGAGAACGAUCUCAAGCAGAUCUCCAUGGCUAUGAUUACCAUUCGAAAUGUAGAUUAAGGAAGAGUGAUGCAGGCUAGUUAAUGCCCAACUACAAGUUAAUGUCUAGAGAGGUUUGGUAUCAUGGGGCUGGUGACGAAUUACUUGGGGGUAGGGCCUCGUCCGAACCCUAAAAGUUCGUAGUAUCUUGGGUGCAGAAGCUUUCCUUGUUGUCUGUUCUUGCUCCAUCCAAAUGGUGGUUCAUUUAGCACAUUCCAUCAGCUUGACUAUUAUUAUUGCCUCUUUUAGUUUUGUUACAAGUUGAUAGAUAAUUGGAGAAUAUGUUCAGCAUUACUAUGACUCUAAAGAAUAUUUGCACGACUGGUAGCCUGAAAACUCAAAAUCUUAAAUGCUCUGUUUUUUCUGCAUGAA